AAUUGUAAUUUGUAGAGAGUGCUUCGGGCGAGACCUCGGUCUAAGUCCAUUGGAACAUGGUGUCAUAGAGGGUGAGAAUCCCGUAUGCGACCGUGGCUCGAGCCCAUGUGAAGCCUCUUCGACGAGUCGAGUUGUUUGGGAAUGCAGCUCAAAACGGGUGGUAAAUUUCAUCUAAAGCUAAAUACUGGCUGGAGACCGAUAGCGCACAAGUAGAGUGAUCGAAAGAUGAAAAGCACUUUGGAAAGAGAGUCAAACAGUACGUGAAAUUGUUGAAAGGGAAGCGCUUGCAACCAGACCUGCCCGUAGGCGAUCAGCCGCUGUUCUCAGCGGUGUACUCGCUCUGCGAUCAGGCCAGCAUCGGUUUCGGCGGUCGGAUAAAGGCCUUGGGAAUGUAGCUUCCUCUCGGGGGAGUCUUAUAGCCCUCGGUGUAAUGCGGCCAGCUGGGACCGAGGACCGCGCUUCGGCUAGGAUGCUGGCGUAAUGGUUGUAAGCGACCCGUCUUGAAACACGGACCAAGGAGUCUAACAUCUAUGCGAGUGUUUGGGUGUCAAACCCAUGCGCGGAAUGAAAGUGAACGGAGGUGAGAACCCUUAAGGGCGCAUCAUCGACCGAUCCAGAUGUCUUCGGAUGGAUUUGAGUAUGAGCAUAGCUGUUGGGACCCGAAAGAUGGUGAACUAUGCCUGAAUAGGGUGAAGCCAGAGGAAACUCUGGUGGAGGCUCGCAGCGGUUCUGACGUGCAAAUCGAUCGUCAAAUU
rnacentral:rRNA from 1 species